CGAGGGGCAGCGGGGGAGCAGCAAUGCUCCCGCCGGCGACCGGCGCACGGGUGAGUAACACGUAUGGAACCUGCCCGCAGCAGGGGGAUAAGCGGAAGAAAUUCCGUCUAGUACCGCGUAACACCGCGGAGGGGCAUCCCUCGGCGGUUAAAGAUUCAUCGGCUGCGGAUGGCCAUGCGGCGCAUUAGCUAGUCGGCGGGGUAACGGCCCACCGAGGCGACGAUGCGUAGGGGUUCUGAGAGGAAGGUCCCCCACACUGGUACUGAGACACGGACCAGACUCCUACGGGAGGCAGCAGUGAGGAAUAUUGGUCAAUGGGCGGGAGCCUGAACCAGCCAAGUCGCGUGAGGGAAGACGGUCCUAUGGAUUGUAAACCUCUUUAGGCGGGGAGCAAUGCCGGGCACGCGUGCCCGGAGGGAGAGUACCCGCAGAAUAAGCAUCGGCUAACUCCGUGCCAGCAGCCGCGGUAAUACGGAGGAUGCGAGCGUUAUCCGGAUUUAUUGGGUUUAAAGGGUGCGUAGGCGGAUUUUUAAGUCAGCGGUAAAAUGUCCGGGCUCAACCCGGGCCGGCCGUUGAAACUGGGGAUCUUGAGUGGGCGAGAAGUAUGCGGAAUGCGUGGUGUAGCGGUGAAAUGCAUAGAUAUCACGCAGAACUCCGAUUGCGAAGGCAGCAUACCGGCGCCCGACUGACGCUGAGGCACGAAAGCGUGGGGAUCGAACAGGAUUAGAUACCCUGGUAGUCCACGCAGUAAACGAUGAAUGCUAGUUGUCCGGU
rnacentral:rRNA from 1 species